rnacentral:SRP_RNA from 1 species
AUCGGCUGGCGGCGGACGUUGAUCCUCGCGAACCCGGUCAGGGCCGAAAGGCAGCAGCCGCAGUGAAUUUGUCGGCGGGUCGUCCGCCAGCCACCUUU